AGUGAACGCUGGCGGUAGGCCUAACACAUGCAAGUCGAACGGCAGCACAGUAAGAGCUUGCUCUUACGGGUGGCGAGUGGCGGACGGGUGAGGAAUACAUCGGAAUCUACUUUUUCGUGGGGGAUAACGUAGGGAAACUUACGCUAAUACCGCAUACGACCUACGGGUGAAAGCAGGGGAUCUUCGGACCUUGCGCGAUUGAAUGAGCCGAUGUCGGAUUAGUUAGUUGGCGGGGUAAAGGCCAACCAAGGCGACGAUCCGUAGCUGGUCUGAGAGGAUGAUCAGCCACACUGGAACUGAGACACGGUCCAGACUCCUACGGGAGGCAGCAGUGGGGAAUAUUGGACAAUGGGCGCAAACCUGAUCCAGCCAUACCGCGUGGGUGAAGAAGGCCUUCGGGUUGUAAAGCCCUUUUGUUGGGAAAGAAAAGCAGCAGGUUAAUACCCCGCUGUUCUGACGUUACCCAAAGAAUAAGCACCGGCUAACUUCGUG
rnacentral:rRNA from 1 species